GAUUAACGCUAGCGGCAGGCCUAAUACAUGCAAGUCGAACGGUAAAUAGUGUAGCAAUACAUUAUGAGAGUGGCGCACGGGUGAGUAACGCGUAUGCAACCUACCUUUAACUGGGGGAUAGCCUUCCGAAAGGAAGAUUAAUACCGCAUAAAAUUAUGAAGUGGCAUCACUUUAUAAUCAAAACUCCGGUGGUUAAAGAUGGGCAUGCGUGAUAUUAGCUAGUUGGUGAGGUAACGGCUCACCAAGGCGACGAUGUCUAGGGGGUCUGAGAGGA
rnacentral:rRNA from 1 species